rnacentral:other from 1 species
CUUCACUGCCGUAUAGACAGCUUAGAAA